GAUGAACGCUGGCGGCGUGCUUAACACAUGCAAGUCGAACGGAAAGGCCCAAGCUUGCUUGGGUACUCGAGUGGCGAACGGGUGAGUAACACGUGGGUGAUCUGCCCUGCACUUCGGGAUAAGCCUGGGAAACUGGGUCUAAUACCGGAUAGGACCACUUCUUGGAUGUUGUGGUGGAAAGUUUUUUCGGUGUGGGAUGAGCUCGCGGCCUAUCAGCUUGUUGGUGGGGUAAUGGCCUACCAAGGCGUCGACGGGUAGCCGGCCUGAGAGGGUGUACGGCCACAUUGGGACUGAGAUACGGCCCAGACUCCUACGGGAGGCAGCAGUGGGGAAUAUUGCACAAUGGGCGCAAGCCUGAUGCAGCGACGCCGCGUGGGGGAUGACGGCCUUCGGGUUGUAAAAUCCGUUCGCUAGGGACGAAGCGUUUUGUGACGGUACCUGGAGAAGAAGCACCGGCUAACUACGUG
rnacentral:rRNA from 1 species